GUUUUGAUUUAAUAUUUUAUAGAUUUAAUUUCCCAAAAAUUUGAAAGAAAUUCUUUCAUUUUUUUUUUACAAAAAAAGAAGACUAUGACGUGGGCAAUCAGUUUCUGUAAAGAUUCAGGCUUUUGCCAAUCCCUAAAAAAUUGUUUCGCCAUGCUGCUACAUUGUUUGCAUCACCUUUAGCCAUUGUAGGCUGCACUAAAGAUAAGAUAGAUUCCUUGGUUGAAUUAUUUAAGUCUGCAGAAUCCAGUCCAGUUCGUAGUGUAGACGAGAGUGCGUACGUCUAUGAACUUUCUCCUGAAAGGAUUCAUCCUAUAAAAGUUCCCGUUGGAUUCAAGUUAUGCGAAUUAAAACAAGCUCACGUGGAAAAUAUAUACAAUGCAUGUCCCUAUAGAGACACAUUUGAACAAUACGCAGACUUGAGGCAAUGGAUACGUUAUCAAAUUGAUACGUUACCAACAGUCUGCAUUGAAACUGAGGACGGGCGCCCUGUUGCUUGGGAGAUUCAGCAUGAAUUCGGCGGAAUGGGGAUGCUACAUGUCGAGCCAGAAUACAGAAGCCUCAAACUGGGAAGUGUCGUCACAAGGACACUUGCUCAGAAAUUGGUAAAGGACGGACAAUUAGUUUUUGCGUGUGUAGAUGACAAAAAUGAAACAUCUGUGACUUUCCAUGAAAAUAAUGGCUACAUAUACUUGCCAUUCCAAUAUUCUGUUGCAGUUUACCAUUUGUGACAGUGUGACAAUAUUUGCGUGAUAAAUGUUCAGAUUUGUUGCCAUGGGUUAAUAAAGAACAAAAAUAGUUUAUCAGACCCAUAUCAAAUUAACACACAGUAAUACUUUAUCAGAUUCAUAUCAAAUUGACAGUUCUGCCCAAUUGCAUUUUAAAGAAAAAUUAACUACUCGUGUCCAAUAUAACUCUACACAAAAAUGCCAAAAUUAACCUUUUUUGUAUUGUUGCUAUGGAAAGUUUGCUGUUGCUAUGGAGAUCAAUAAAUAUGAACAAUUGAUUCAUUUUUAAAAUAAAAGAGAGUUAUUUUCUAUUACUUGAAAAGUUGUAUCUACAUUUAAAAAGAUAACAGUUUAUAAGAUUUUUGA